AAUGUACUUCCUCCGUCCUAAAAUUCUUGUCUUAAAUUUGUCUAAAUACGGAUCUAUCAAGUCAUGUUCUAGUAUUAGAUUCAUCGGUAUCUAGACAAAUUUAAGACAAGAAUUUUGGGUCGGAGAGAGUACUAU
rfam:Triticum urartu cultivar G1812 contig679224, whole genome shotgun sequence.